rnacentral:ncRNA from 1 species
GCGACGCACUCCACUUCAUGCCCGCGGGCGGGUCAAAGAAAGGAGAAUCCCGCUUUGUUCAGCGGUGCGGCAGCGUGGAGACCUGCCGUAAGGCCCACGGGCGAAAGCUUCCCAUGGGCGAGACGGGGACGCGGAGGCGGAACCGCCAUGAACAAGAAAGAUGGCA